GGUGACAAAAAAUAAUUUAAACAAGAAUCUAUUAAUAGGAAGAGAUUGCGCAAUCUUUAUUUUAUUACCGACGAGUGAGGUGAGUAUACCCACAUCUUGGCGAAUGCAGCUCAUACCAAUGGAGAACGUUGUUAGACGUAUAGGCUGUGAAAAAAAAUGAUUGCACAAGCAUAUCAAUUGUCUGUGAAUGAAAUUUUAUGUACUCCAUCAA
rnacentral:lncRNA from 1 species